rnacentral:rRNA from 1 species
GACGAACGCUGGCGGCGUGCUUAACACAUGCAAGUCGAACGGAAAGGCCCUGCUCUUGUGGGGUGCUCGAGUGGCGAACGGGUGAGUAACACGUGAGUAACCUGCCCUUGACUUUGGGAUAUCUUCAGGAAACUGGGGCUAAUACCGGAUAGGAUCUCCUGCUGCAUGGUGGGGGUUGGAAAGUUUCGGCGGUUGGGGAUGGACUCGCGGCUUAUCAGCUUGUUUGUGGGGUAGUGGCUUACCAAGGCUUCGACGGGUAGCCGGCCUGAGAGGGUGACCGGCCACAUUGGGACUGAGAUACGGCCCAGACUCCUACGGGAGGCAGCAGUGGGGAAUAUUGCACAAUGGGCGGAAGCCUGAUGCAGCAACGCCGCGUGCGGGAUGACGGCCUUCGGGUUGUAAACCGCUUUCGCCUGUGACGAAGCGUGAGUGACGGUAAUGGGUAAAGAAGCACCGGCUAACUACGUG